GUCAGAACACCUGCUGUAUUCUCCCAGCAAACACUGGGGCCACGGCGUCUCUCCUCUAAUGACACCUCAUCAAUCCGCUCCUAUCAAUGUCCCAGCCAUGGAGGUGACUUCGAGUGCUCAGAAGCCUUAGAAAAUGUCAACGUUUUGGGAGAAAAGCUUGCUGACAUUGUGUGUCCUGUCCUGAAACGGAGACUUAUAUGAAGACUUUGAACAUCUCGCAGGCCAGGAGCAUGCACGUGCUUUAACUAACAAGAAAGCAGCAUUUGUCAACAAACAUUCAUACGCCUGCUGCUGCCUCUGUCUUCUUUUCAAGACUAAAAUCAUCCAGAGAUAACAGACUCCAGGGAGAAAGUCAACAAAUUAUAGAGGAACAACACAAUUCCUCUAUGCGAGUUGGCAGCGUGGAUUCUACAUCCCAGGCUUGUGACGCUCUGGUGAUGACUCUGUGCCAAGAACUCCACAUACAUUAUUUAACCUUAUCUUCGUGACAAGCCUAAGAGAAGCACUGUGAACCCACUGCAGAGAGAGAUGUACUAGCUUCUGCCAGAGAGGGAGACUGUGAAGCCUGGUCUCAUCUAUGAGCAAGGUCCUUCCCACCCAUCACUGACUCUCCUUUAUGAGCCAAAAGAUGAAGAAAGAAGGAGGAAAAAAGAAUGAGUGACCUACUUCCGCCAACACUGAUUUUAGAUAUGUGAAAUAAAAUAAAAAUAAAACCUGAUAGUUGACAUUACUACUUUGGCCUUAAGUGAGCUAAUUUAAGAUAAUCGUAGUUGUAUGGUAUGCACACCAUCAUCUUUCAUAGUCUUUUAAAACUAUAAGACUGGAGGAAUCUGUGAUUAGUUUCUCUUCUCCUUAAUCAAUCUUUACGCUCUCUAAAAAUUACUGUCUGCAAGCUAUGCUGCAAAAGUCACCAAAGACUUGUGCUCCCUGGAUCAAUCUU